AGUGAACGCUGGCGGUAGGCCUAACACAUGCAAGUCGAGCGGCAGCACAGUAAGAUCUUGCUUUUACGGGUGGCGAGUGGCGGACGGGUGAGGAAUACAUCGGAAUCUACUUUUACGUGGGGGACAACGGAGGGAAACUGACACUAAUACCUCAUACGACCUACGGCUUAAAGCAAGAGAUCAUCGCACCUUGGGUGUCUCAAUUAGCCGAUGUCGGAUUAGCUAGUUGGCUGGGUAACGGCCCACCAAGGCGACGAUCCGUAGCUGGUCUGAGAGGAUGAUCAGCCACACUGGAACUGAGACACGGUCCAGACUCCCACGGGAGGCAGCAGUGGGGAAUAUUCGACAAUGGGCGCAAGCCUGAUGCAGCCAUACCGCGUGAGUGAAGAAGGUCUUCGGGUUGUAAAGCCCUUUUGUUAGGGAAGAACAAAAGCAUAUUAAUACCCCGACGUUCUGACGGUACCCAAAGAAUAAGCACCGGCUAACUUCGUG
rnacentral:rRNA from 1 species